rnacentral:rRNA from 1 species
AGGACGAACGCUGGCGGCGUGCUUAACACAUGCAAGUCGAGCGGAAAGGCCCUUCGGGGUACUCGAGCGGCGAACGGGUGAGUAACACGUGAGCAACCUGCCCUUAGCUCUGUGAUAGCUCCGGGAAACCGGAAUUAAUACCGGAUACGACCUAGGCCGACAUCGGCCAUGGUGGAAAGUUUUUCGGCUAGGGAUGGACUCGCGGCCUAUCAGCUAGUUGGUGGGGUAAAGGCCUACCAAGGCGACGACGGGUAGCCGGCCUGAGAGGGCGACCGGGCCACACUGGGACUGAGACACGGCCCAGACUCCUACGGGAGGCAGCAGUGGGGAAUCUUGCGCAAUGGGCGAAAGCCUGACGCAGCGACGCCGCGUGGGGAUGAAGGCCUUCGGGUUGUAACCCCUUUCAGCAGGGACGAAGCGAAGUGACGGUACUGCAGAAGAAGCGCCGGCUAACUACGUGCCAGCGAGCCGC